CUCGUAGGUGGCCAACUAAGUCAGACGUGAAAUCCCUCAGCUUAACUGGGGAACUGCGUCUGAUACUGGAUGGCUUGAGUUUGGGAGAGGGAUGCGGAAUUCCAGGUGUAGCGGUGAAAUGCGUAGAUAUCUGGAGGAACACCGGUGGCGAAGGCGGCAUCCUGGACCAAUACUGACACUGAGGAGCGAAAGCCAGGGGAGCAAAC
rnacentral:rRNA from 1 species